GUAUCACCAUUGUGCAUUGUCACCCCCUUUAGAUCCAGAAAUCGGAAACGAAGAAAGCGGUAUUACGGUCAUUAUUGUAAUUUGAAGACCCAGCUUUUUUCCAGGAUUCGUCCGCUGAUUUCUAACUAUAUCUAGAGUGUAAUUCAAAUUUACAUAACUUAUUGAUUAACAAUUGAAACCCCUUUUAAACUUUUGAACUAAUGUUUUCAUACUCCAAUAAAACGGAGAUGAAAUUCUUACGAAACAAAGAACAACUCUUAGCAACGGAUAUCUUGGUUCUCGUAACGAUGAAGAACGCAGCGAAAUGCGAUACGUAAUGCGAAUUGCAGAAUUCAGUGAAUCAUCAAAUCUUUGAACGCAAAUUGCGCUUUCUGGAUAGGCCAGGGAGCAUGCCUCUUUGAGCAUCGUUUCUACCAAACUCGUUAGCUUUCUUGGCAACAAGGAGGCGAGCGGAUAAUGUGCUUCUCGCAGGAAACUGUGAGUGGCAUUAAGAAGCGUGAGACUUGUUUUAACUCUCUAGUGUUCGACCUCUUUAUUGAGGGCGCCUUCCGACUCGGAAGAUUACACUGGUGACGUAGAUAAUUAAUUUUUUCAACGUUGCCGGCGUGAUCGGAUGUGUUAGAUAUGGCUAAGACUCUGGGAACCGAAACUCGACUCGUAUGAAAAUUAAUCAAUAUCAU
rnacentral:rRNA from 1 species